GGAAGUAAAAAGUCGUAACAAGGUUUCCGUAGGUGAACCUGCGGAAGGAUCAUUAUCGAGUUAGGGUCUAUGGCCCGACCUCCAACCCCGUGUUUAAAUACCAUGUUGCUUCGGCGGGCCCGUCUUUGGACCGUCGGGGGUCUUCGUUGACCCCUGGCCCGUGCCCGUCGAGAGCCCCUAUCAAACCUUUGACCCAAACGUGUCGUCUGAGUUCAAAUUAUAAUAGUUAAAACUUUCAACAACGGAUCUCUUGGUUCUG
rnacentral:misc_RNA from 1 species